rnacentral:rRNA from 1 species
UUUGAUCCUGGCUCAGAUUGAACGCUGACGGCAGGCCUAACACAUGCAAGUCGAACGGUAACAGGAAGUGCUUGCACUUCGCUGACGAGUGGCGGACGGGUGAGUAAUGCUUGGGAACUUGCCUUUGCGAGGGGGAUAACAGUUGGAAACGACUGCUAAUACCGCAUAAUGUCUUCGGACCAAACGGGGCUUCGGCUCCGGCGCAAAGAGAGGCCCAAGUGAGAUUAGCUAGUUGGUAAGGUAAAGGCUUACCAAGGCAACGAUCUCUAGCUGUUCUGAGAGGAAGAUCAGCCACACUGGAACUGAGACACGGUCCAGACUCCUACGGGAGGCAGCAGUGGGGAAUAUUGCACAAUGGGGGAAACCCUGAUGCAGCCAUGCCGCGUGUGUGAAGAAGGCCUUCGGGUUGUAAAGCACUUUCAGUUGUGAGGAAAAGUUAGUAGUUAAUACC